GAUGAACGCUGGCGGCGUGCCUAAUACAUGCAAGUCGAGCGAACGGACGAGAAGCUUGCUUCUCUGAUGUUAGCGGCGGACGGGUGAGUAACACGUGGAUAACCUACCUAUAAGACUGGGAUAACUUCGGGAAACCGGAGCUAAUACCGGAUAAUAUUUUGAACCGCAUGGUUCAAAAGUGAAAGACGGUCUUGCUGUCACUUAUAGAUGGAUCCGCGCUGCAUUAGCUAGUUGGUAAGGUAACGGCUUACCAAGGCAACGAUGCAUAGCCGACCUGAGAGGGUGAUCGGCCACACUGGAACUGAGACACGGUCCAGACUCCUACGGGAGGCAGCAGGAGGGAAUCUUCCGCAAUGGGCGUAAGCCUGACGGAGCAACGCCGCGUGAGUGAUGAAGGUCUUCGGAUCGUAAAACUCUGUUAUUAGGGAAGAACAUAUGUGUAAGUAACUGUGCACAUCUUGACGGUACCUAAUCAGAAAGCCACGGCUAACUACGUG
rnacentral:rRNA from 1 species